rnacentral:tRNA from 1 species
GGCGAGAUGGCCGAGCGGUCUAAGGCGCUGGUUUAAGGCACCAGUCUCCUCGGAGGCGUGGGUUCCGAUCCCACUCUUGUCA